CAAUAGCGUAUAUUAAAGUUGUUGCAGUUAAAAAGCUCGUAGUUGAAUUUCUGUCAGGAGUGACCGGGCCUUUGGAUGAACUUCCAUUGUUUUUUGCUCUGUUUGUCAUCUCUAGACAUCCUGAAAUAUUUUUUAAAAAUAUUUCUCUUUUACUGUUAGCAAAAUAGAGUGUUCCAAGCAAAGCGUAGUUUUGAAUACAUUAGAAUGGAAUAAUAAGAUAGGACUUUGGUGCUAUUUUGUUGGUUUGCACACCAAGGUAAUGAUUGAUAGGGACAGUUGGGGGUAUUCGUAUUUAAUUGUCAGAGGUGAAAUUCUUGGAUUUAUGAAAGACGAACUACUGCGAAAGCAUUUACCAAGGAUGUUUUCAUUAA
rnacentral:rRNA from 1 species